GCUGGCGGCGUGCUUAACACAUGCAAGUCAUGGGGGUCCGCAAGGACAACCGGCGAACGGGUGCGUAACACGUGAGCAACCUACCGAUUUGUGGGGGAUAGCCGGCCUAACGGCCGAGUAAUACCGCAUACGCUUGCUCGGUCUCCUGACUGGGCAAGGAAACCUCCGGGGCAAAUCGAGGGGCUCGCGGCCUAUCAGCUAGUUGGCGAGGUCACGGCUCACCAAGGCGACGACGGGUAGCUGGUCUGAGAGGAUGGCCAGCCACAUUGGGACUGAGAAACGGCCCAGACUCCUACGGGAGGCAGCAGUGGGGAAUCUUGCGCAAUGGGCGAAAGCCUGACGCAGCGACGCCGCGUGGGGGAUGACGGGUUUCGGCUUGUAAACCCCUGUUGCCCGGGACGAACGACCUCUUUCGAGGGGUGUGACGGUACCGGGUGAGGAAGCACCGGCUAACUCCGUGCCAGCAGCCGCGGUAAUACGGAGGGUGCGAGCGUUGUCCGGAAUCACUGGGCGUAAAGGGCGCGUAGGUGGCGCGGUCAGUCAACGGUGAAAGCUCGACGCUCAACGUCGAGUCGGCCGUCGAUACUGCCGCGCUGGAGCACUGUAGAGGCAGAUGGAAUUCCGGGUGUAGCGGUGGAAUGCGUAGAGAUCCGGAAGAACACCGGUGGCGAAGGCGGUCUGCUGGGCAGUUGCUGACACUGAGGCGCGACAGCGUGGGGAGCAAACAGGAUUAGAUA
rnacentral:rRNA from 1 species